CACAAAAGACUCUUUCAGAAACUGAUUACUUAGAUUUGAACUUUUCAACGAGGCUUUUUAUUUUUUUUCCUCUAAGCUCUGUAGCUCAAAUUCCAGAUUCUGCUGUUGCUAAGAUUAAGGAUUUUCUCCCUCAGCUCAGUUUCCAUUGACUAGGAAAGACCAGGAGAUGGAUUACUGUUCUCUUGCCAAAAGCAGACAGGGUGCUUGAGCUUCUGGGGCUAACACUGGGAUCCGACAUCAUUCAGGCCUGUGCUAAUAGUCCUUAGUUACUCCUCAGGCUCUCACAAAAGUCACACGCAUUUGUGUCGGUAACUAAGGCCUACGGAAAGCACUCAGCCUUAAGUGCACACAGGAGAACCAUGGAGUCGGAGUAAAAGGGGACAUCUCUUUUCUCGUCUCAUCCUUGAAUCUGAAUCACCUAUGGAACUUGCUUCAGCCAAUGAGAAAUUAGCAACUAUAAGAGGAAGAUCAAGAAGAGGCUCGAAAAAUGCUUUCCCAGAAAAGCUGCUUGCUUUUCUUGGAGACUGACCCGAUUUUAUAAGUCCAUGAUAACAUGUUGGGUGAUGAGAGACACUUGCCCCAUGUCUUCUUGAUCAUCCCUGGGCUGUAGUCAACUAUCUUCAGAAGCAGAACUGACCUGCUGUUGACCACAGAUGCGUGAGUGAGCCCAGCAAAGCUCAUUAGAAGAACUUGCCCGGCUGAGCCCAGCCCAAAUUACUGACUCAUAAAAUCAUGAGCUAAAUAAAUGGCUAUUAUUUUAUUCAGCUAAA